GAUGAAGAACGUAGCGAAAUGCGAUACUUGGUGUGAAUUGCAGAAUCCCGUGAACCAUCGAGUCUUUGAACGCAAGUUGCGCCCGAAGCCACUAGGCCGAGGGCACGCCUGCCUGGGCGUCACACGUCGUUGCCCCCCCCCCAUCUACUCCUUCGGGAUUGCGGGGGGCGGAUGAUGGCCUCCCGUGCGCCUAGCCGCGCGGUUGGCAUAAAUACCAAGUCCUCGGCGACGCACGCCACGACAAUCGGUGGUUGCGAAACCUCGGUUGCCCGUCGUGUGCGUUCGUCGCGCAUCGAGGGCUCGAAAAAAUGCUCGGCUCCGGCUUGGCUUUCAACGCGACCCCAGGUCAGGCGGGGUUACCCGCUGAAUUUAAGCAUAUCAAUAAGCGGAGGA
rnacentral:misc_RNA from 1 species